AAUGGUAUAGUUUAUUUAGGUACAAUAGAGAAUUGCAAAUUCUUGACUUCUCAGUUCGAAUCUGAGUAUCAGUU
rnacentral:tRNA from 1 species